AGGAAUAUUGGUCAAUGGACGAGAGUCUGAACCAGCCAAGUAGCGUGAAGGAUGAAGGUCCUACGGAUUGUAAACUUCUUUUAUAAGGGAAUAAACCCUCCCACGUGUGGGAGCUUGUAUGUACCUUAUGAAUAAGCAUCGGCUAACUCCGUGCCAGCAGCCGCGGUAAUACGGAGGAUGCGAGCGUUAUCCGGAUUUAUUGGGUUUAAAGGGAGCGCAGACGGGUCGUUAAGUCAGCUGUGAAAGUUUGGGGCUCAACCUUAAAAUUGCAGUUGAUACUGGCGUCCUUGAGUGCGGUUGAGGUGUGCGGAAUUCGUGGUGUAGCGGUGAAAUGCUUAGAUAUCACGAAGAACUCCGAUUGCGAAGGCAGCACACUAAUCCGUAACUGACGUUCAUGCUCGAAAGUGUGGGUAUCAAACAGGAUUAGAUACCCUGGUAGUCCACACGGUAAACGAUGGAUACUCGCUGUUGGCGAUAUACUGUCAGCGGCUUAGCGAAAGCGUUAAGUAUCCCACCUGGGGAGUACGCCGGCAACGGUGAAACUCAAAGGAAUUGACGGGGGCCCGCACAAGCGGAGGAACAUGUGGUUUAAUUCGAUGAUACGCGAGGAACCUUACCCGGGCUUAAAUUGCAAAGGAAUAAUCUGGAAACAGGUUAGUCUUCGGACCUUUGUGAAGGUGCUGCAUGGUUGUCGUCAGCUCGUGCCGUGAGGUGUCGGCUUAAGUGCCAUAACGAGCGCAACCCUCGCCGCCAGUUACUAACAGUUAAAGCUGAGGACUCUGGCGGGACUGCCAUCGUAAGAUGUGAGGAAGGUGGGGAUGACGUCAAAUCAGCACGGCCCUUACGUCCGGGGCUACACACGUGUUACAAUGGGCGGUACAGAAGGCAGCUACCUGGCGACAGGAUGCCAAUCCCUAAAGCCGCUCUCAGUUCGAACUGGAGUCUGCAACCCGACUCCACGAAGCUGGAUUCGCUAGUAAUCGCGCAUCAGCCACGGCGCGGUGAAUACGUUCCCG
rnacentral:rRNA from 1 species